ensembl:lncRNA
AGAAAUCUUACAAGCCAUAGCCUGACAUUUCAAAAAUGAAAAACAUGCGGCUAGAUGACAGUAAUAGAGAAUGCUGAGUAUUCUAGGGAAAAAAUAGUCUGACAAUCAGCUGUUUGCAGACGUGACGACAAUGUCCUCUGUGCAAAGGUCCAGGGCAUGUCCGGUUACACACACGCGUCCACCUCUGCCUUAGGGACCACGCCUGUCUUCCUGAGACCCUUCCUGCUUUUGUUUCACUGUACAACAAAGAAUGUGUAAUUCUGUCUUCAAGCGUGCUCUUAUCUUCUACACACAGAGACACACACAUUACUGCAUCUCUCUUCAGCUGUUGUACUGUGUUUUCGAGCUGUGAACAUAAAACAGCCUCAUUUAGAGUCAAGUUAGUUCGUUAAGGCGAAUUCUUCAGAGCUAUCGGGGCAGCGGAAACAGAAAGAGUUCAACACCCUCUGAACCAAGUGUGAACCAGAAAAAAAAAAAAGAACUUCCCCUCUGCAACAGAUCAAAGACGAGCUUGCCAAAGUGCUUGGAGUUUGAGUUGAGGUGGAGGGGAAUCUCACCGUGCCGUACCCUCCCAGGUUUCCACCGUGGUGGUCUCCGCAGGUGCUGUGAUUGAAAAGGUCUCCUGAGGAGCCGGCACUGAUUACAGAAAGAAAGAAAGAAAGAAAGAAAGAAAAAUGAAAAUUAAAUGAAAGUCAAGUCAAGUCAAAUAUGGGGGAAAAAAACAAGAACACAGAGACACAAUGGACUCUAAUUUGCCUUGGAUAUUACCAACACAGCACUGCACAGGCGUACACUCUGUGCGUACGCGGCAGACUCUGAGGCAGGUGCAAUGCACAAGCCAUAAUGAAAAAUGCAUGGUGCCUCACAACCGUCACAUCCGUCAAUGGGCACCCUAGCCUAAUGUGCUGGAAUGGACUACACAAUGAGGAAUAAUUAGGGUUGGACUCAAGCUCAAUGGAGACCUGAGGUGUGUGUUCUCCAGCGGGUGUGUGUUCUCCAGCGGGUGUGUGUUCUCAUGGGUCAUGCCAGGAUGUCCUCUUCAUUUAUGUCUUUUAUCAUUCCUAAUUUAAAAAAUGAACCUUUGGCAAGGCAUUAGUAGGAUUUGAGCAAUGUGCUACCUGUAAGAUGGUCAAAAUUGAAGCGGCUUUGUGUAAAGCAACAUUACAACAUGUGUUAAUGUUAGUCACAGAAAUUCUAUAAGACCAUGAUAUGUGGGCCAACUGAACGUUUUAGACAUUUUAAAUAUGAAAGUAUAAAAGCUUGUUGCUCCUUAUCUGCUAUUAUGUGUAGGGCGAGGAAAGCAAUGGUGGAAAUAAAUCUUGGUCUUCUUACUGCCGUCAUAUAAGAAAUGGCAGUAUCAUUAAUACAGCACUAAUGUCUGUCUAUUAUUCAUCCAUUGGAAGCUUAGAAUAAUUUUUCUGAUGGUGAUGUGACACACAGACAGAGAGACAUAAAUCCUUUCUCCACAAAUUGAAUUUUAGGCGAUAAACCCAUUCAAAAAGUGGGCACUCAAACUGUGUUGGUUAAUUCUUGAUCUAGUUUGGAAUAAAAAUUGAAGCGUCCUCAGAUUCCAGAUAGCGAGUCACAAGCCGUUAGCUUCCAAAAUGGUACCUGCUGCUUCCCAGCUUGGCAUUCCGAGCAAACAGACUCUAAAUGACACUGGCCCUAUAAAAGCGUCCUCAGAUCAUAGUUUCAUGCGCCAGCAGGUCACACAUUAAUAUGAUGACUGGCCACAAAUUCAAUAAAGCUUUUACAACACAACAUAGGCGGACUUGUGUUAGGCCGAAUAGAAAAUAGUGUGGCACUCUUGCCGUGACGGUUCAGGAUUAUGUGUAAUAUUGCGUGCAGUAGGCCUAUAGGUUACAGACGUGAUCGAGGAUUAAUGAUGUAGACCCGCACAUAAAGGACUAGCGGGUGGCUCUUUUGGAGGCUUCGCCGUGCUCUAAUGCGGAUUUUCUUGUAUAACAUGCAUUGAGCCACCUGAUGACAAAAAGGUGCCUGUCUGACUGUAAAAAGCAGCCGGGUGGAGAGGAAAGGAGAAGAUGAGGAGAAUGUGUAACAUACUAGAUGUUCUCCUCCUUUCCUCUUAAUUCAUUUCUUUUUCGUGCACUGGGGUCUUGUUUGCCUUUCAGGACGCUCCGAGUAAGUCCAUUCGUCCAGGACAUCUUAUAUGACAGAUCAUCGCUCACUCAUUUAUGUAUUUGUUGUGGCUCAGAUACUAACGUAUGCUCACUUCACUCGUGUUUCCUGAGAGGGCAUCACCUUGUGUGCUGCAAAAUAACUGUGCUAUCCGACUGAGCUAAAAUCCCGACGCGCGCAACGCAGCAAUCUUCAGAAGACCAAUGUCAUGACAAAUAAUUCUUCAACUCUUAGGAGGGUCAGAGCGUUUAAAGUGUAAAUUGAUAUGAUCUUAUUUUUACAGCAUUCCAUUGUGGUUUAUAUAAUAGAUGGAGUACUAUAAUGGGCUAUAAAUUAAGUUCACCCCGGUUCAAUUGAAUUAGCAAUGUAUUGCACGUCUGACUGGGGACAAAUUAAGCAUAAAUACAAAUUACAUAAAUGUGCCUUUCAUCGUCACACACUACACUUGCAUAAACAUGUUCAAAUGUAUGAGGCAAUAUCAUAUUGUUGACGCAUCAAGAACCUGCUCUCGGUAUCUACCCAAGCAUAUCAUAUGAAUAAAUACAUCUUUUUUCACACCUUUUCAUCCUGUUUAUGGUCCCGUGAAAUUCAGCAAAAGAUUUGACUGUCUCGAUUAACUAAUACGAAAAGCUUGCUUCGUGUCCUACCUUGAUCGCUCCAAUCUCCUCCGUUUCUCAGUCAAUCUCAUUCAUUCUUCCUCCCCUCCGUUUCACUUGCUCGCGCUUUCCCUCUGGAUAUCCGUCGUUUUCUCCUUGUCUCUUCUUCGUGCGAAUGCAUAAAGAUUAAAAAUGUAUAACCUUAUAUCGUCCAGAUAGAGCCAAACAGUCCAAAAUAAACGGAGAAAUAGCCUGUCGUUAUGAAGAUCUGGAAUGGCAAUGAAAAAACCCACAUAGCAGGCUAAUGUUGACAAAAAAUGAGCCCGCUUUCAAAGUCAUGUCAACACAUAACGAGGGGAACGAGUCCAAUUGUAAGACAACGACGUUUCCUUUCAAACAUGCAGUAGUGACUAAAUGUUGUAGUUAGACCCACAGAUAAUACAUAUCUACGACAUAAGCACAAAAAUGCACACCGAGGACAAUGUCUUCCGCAGUCAGUUUCUGUGGUACAAGCUAUUUGCUACACACCAUAAAUCACUUCUUACUGCCUAAGCUGUGGACCAACACGCACAACAGACCAGCUUCAGUCUACGCAACGGCACAAAUGAUGAAUAGAUGGCAAGAAACUCCAUAGUCAACGACUAAUGUUAGGCUAAACGUCGGCAAUGUCACUUGUUUGGACCAGCGCACACAUAUCAAAGCGUCCUCUUCUUGACCAUGUUACCGCGUUUAGGAAAGAUCACUCUCUCUCGCAUUCUCUCUCUCUCUCUCACACUCCCUCUCCCUUUCUCUCUCUCUCCGUCAGUGGAAAUGUCUCACAGCACUGAGACUGAGACUUAAAGCUUACUUCGCUUUGAUAUUCAGGUGCUGUUCAAUUACAGUAAGCUAGUCCCCAAUACAUUGAAUGGAUAUAAUAACUUCCCCUUAAUUUAGGUCAAAACAAUAUGUUUAGAAAAUAUUUAAUUUAGAUGUGAAUUAUAGUUCAACAGAGUAUCACGAAUGAGGCAUUCAGUGCUCACUCUCUGGUGGGCAUUUAAGGCAACUAUUAUUACUACUACACAGGAAAGAUUCCCCUUCGCGCC